rnacentral:rRNA from 1 species
GAUUAGCCAUGCUAGUCGCACGAGUUCACACUCGUGGCGAAUAGCUCAGUAACACGUGGCCAAACUACCCUUCGGAACACAAUACCCUCGGGAAACUGAGGCUAAUAGUGUAUACCAUACCACCACUGGAAUGAGUGGUAUGCCAAACGCUCCGGCGCCGAAGGAUGUGGCUGCGGCCGAUUAGGUAGACGGUGGGGUAACGGCCCACCGUGCCAAUAAUCGGUAUGGGUCAUGAGAGUGAGAACCCAGAGACGGAAUCUGAGACAAGAUUCCGGGCCCUACGGGGCGCAGCAGGCGCGAAACCUUUACACUGCACGACAGUGCGAUAGGGGGAUCCCAAGUGCACAGGCAUAGCGCCUGUGCUUUUCGAUACCCUAAGGUGGUAUCAGAAUAAGGGCUGGGCAAGACCGGUGCCAGCCGCCGCGGUAAUACCGGCAGCCCAAGUGAUGGCCGAUCUUAUUGGGCCUAAAGCGUCCGUAGCUGGCCGCGCAAGUCCAUCGGGAAAUCCACCUGCUCAACAGGUGGGCGCCCGGUAGAAACUGCGUGGCUUGGGACCGGAAGGCGCGACGGGUACGUCCGGGGUAGGAGUGAAAUCCCGUAAUCCUGGACGGACCGCC